UACAGGGGGGGCAAGCGUUGUUCGGAAUUACUGGGCGUAAAGGGUUCGUAGGUGGCCAACUAAGUCAGACGUGAAAUCCCUCAGCUUAACUGGGGAACUGCGUCUGAUACUGGAUGGCUUGAGUGUAGGAGAGGAAUGCGGAAUUCCAGGUGUAGCGGUGAAAUGCGUAGAUAUCUGGAGGAACACCGGUGGCGAAGGCGGGCAUCUGGGACUACAACUGACACUGAGGAACGAAAGCCAGGG
rnacentral:rRNA from 1 species